GCGCGGGUGGUGAAACUGGCAAACACGCCACUUUGAGGUGGUGGUGCCCGUAAAGGCUUGGAGGUUCAAAUCCUCUCCCGCGCACUA
rnacentral:tRNA from 4 species